rnacentral:rRNA from 1 species
CAUCUAGAUUAGAGUUUGAUCAUGGCUCAGAACGAACGCUGGCGGCAGGCUUAACACAUGCAAGUCGAGCGCCCCGCAAGGGGAGCGGCAGACGGGUGAGUAACGCGUGGGAAUCUACCCAUCCCUACGGAAUAACCCAGGGAAACUUGGACUAAUACCGUAUACGACCGAGAGGUGAAAGAUUUAUCGCUUCGGGAUGGGCCCGCGGUCCAUCAGCUAGUUGGUAGGGUAAUGGCCUACCAAGGCGACGACGGAUAGCCGGCCUGAGAGGGCGAUCGGCCACAGGGGCACUGAGAUACGGGCCCCACUCCUACGGGAGGCAGCAGUUAGGAAUCUUCCACAAUGGGCGAAAGCCUGAUGGAGCGACACCGCGUGAAGGAUGAAGGCCCUAGGGUCGUAAACUUCUAAAAGAGGGACGAUAAUGACGGUACCUCUUGAGAAGCACCGGCUAACUCCGUGCCAGCAGCCGCGGUAAUACGGAGGGUGCAAGCGUUAUCCGGAAUCACUGGGCGUAAAGGGCGCGUAGGUGGUCUGUUAAGUCUGGCGUUAAAGCCUGGGGCUCAACCCCAGAUCAGCGUUGGAUACUGGCAGGCUAGACGGUUGGAGAGGCGAGUGGAAUUACCAGUGUAGCGGUGGAAUGCGUAGAUACUGGUAGGAACACCCAUUGCGAAGGCAGCUCGCUGGACAACACGUGACACUGAGGCGCGAAAGUGUGGGGAGCAAACCGGGAUUAGAUACCCGGGUAGUCCACACCCUAAACGAUGCAUACUUGGUAUUGGCCCGUUGGGGGUCAGUGCCCGGAGCUAACGUGUUUAAGUAUGCCGGCCUGGGA